ACCACCACACAGUGGCAGUAUCACAGCCAGUGAGGUUUAUCCGAGGCACUAUUAUUGCUAAUUGAAAACUUUUCCUAAUACUCUGCCACGACGAUUUGAAACGCACUUUGGAGC
ensembl:snRNA U4 U4 spliceosomal RNA